ensembl:lncRNA
CCCUUUGCUGCUUCAUUGAUGUUUUUUUGGGGGUUUUUUUGCCUUUUCAUUCAUGGAGUCAAUCAGCAGUCGCAUUUGCUUCUAAUUAAACCAAGGUAAGCUCCAAGGAAAUACUACUACAGCAGCAUACACAUCCUCUUGACAUUACGUCUCUGAGCCCACAGAAGGGCACUCUUUCUUGAAAUAGAUGCCUCCUCCUUAGGAGCUGCCCAGCUGUCAAGGAGAAGGGCACUCACUGUAUAACUGCAUAUAAACAUAACACAAACUGCCAAGUGUGAUAAGAAUGGGAAGGAGGCUUCAACACCAAUUUCGACAGAAGACAAAUGACUGCUGGUGGACUUAUCGUUGUUGAUUCGUGUAGCUGGAAGAAGCUUUGCUUUUGUUUUUUCUUCCCCUCUUCCUUCUGCCAGGUUGUUAUUUAUAGUCUGUUCACUCACAUCACAUGCUCGUUUUAGUUUAUUUUGGGGGGGGUUUUCUGCAAAAGAGCCGAGUGAGAGAUUGAAUGUGAAAUAUUUUCAUUUUCAACGUCCUUAAAUGUUAAUGAGCAAAUGUUUCCAGGUGGCUUUACAAUGUCGCGGAUUCGAAAACAAGCCACCUUUCCUCUGAUCUUAUUCAUAUAUAUGCAUUUAUAUACAUAUGUACAGAUUUACAGUACUUCCACCAGAUAAAUGGCUGACUUUGUGGAGAUGCACACUCUUUUUUUUUUUUUUCCUUUCUCUGCAACUUUACGCUCUAAAGUCUGACCACAUGUGCUGUUUUCACUAAAGGACAAUAAGCUGAAAAAGCCCUACUCCUUGGGUUUCGUGCAUGUCCAGUCAGGAAUACUGAGCAGCCCUCGCUUACGAGGAUACGUGAUUUUUUUUUAAUUUUUUUAAAUUCUAGCGCCUGUGUUUUAUCUACUCGGCCUGUCAACGCCGCUUUGUGCAGUGACAUAGCUACAUCGCGAGCAGGCCCCCGAGGCCGCCGUCCUCUCUGCCACUCGAGCUCCCCUUGUUGUUGACUCAGCAUGUUGGACAUGCUCCCUGGGUUGCUACACUGCCAUGGCUGACACACUAUUGGUUAGUAUGUAUGAGUGUGAGCGCGCGUGUUACGAGGUCAACCGUUGCCAGAGGCCGAUUGCUUCAGAAACAGGAAGGUUCCCGGCGGCCACCUGCCGUGCAGACCCUCACCGACCCCCGUGCCCUGCGCUGUCAUACGCUAUCAUUGCUAAGAGGAGGUGGAGAUAAGGCAGGGUGUUGCAUGAAUUAUGCAAAGCUGCUAACUGAUGUUUACGCGGCCGCGCUGGGGAUAGCGUCAGCGUACAAUAAUGGGUUGCCUGUUGCACUCAAAGUGAGGCAAGAUGUAAAAAUGCUAAUUUUCCUGCCCAGCUACAGUUACAUCGGCUCCAUUUAACAUCACUACUGAAUAUGUAAUUUUCAUUGUUUUAACGUUCAGA